UGGGGAAUAUUGCGCAAUGGGCGAAAGCCUGACGCAGCAACGCCGCGUGUGUGAAGAAGGCCCUCGGGUCGUAAAGCACUGUUGAGUGGAACGAGCCGGUGUCGGUUAAUACCCGGCGCUCCGACGGUACCACUUUAGAAAGCACCGGCUAACUCCGUGCCAGCAGCCGCGGUAAUACGGAGGGUGCAAGCGUUGUUCGGAAUUAUUGGGCGUAAAGCGCGCGCAGGCGGGUUGUUAAGUCUGAUGUGAAAUCCCUCGGCUCAACCGAGGACGUGCAUUGGAUACUGGCAAUCUUGAAUCCCGGAGAGGGUGGCGGAAUUCCCAGUGUAGAGGUGAAAUUCGUAGAUAUUGGGAGGAACACCAGUGGCGAAGGCGGCCACCUGGACGGUGAUUGACGCUGAGGCGCGAAAGCGUGGGUAGCAAACAGG
rnacentral:rRNA from 1 species